CCUACGGGAGGCAGCAGUAAGGAAUAUUGGUCAAUGGAGGCAACUCUGAACCAGCCAUGCCGCGUGCAGGAUGACGGCCCUAUGGGUUGUAAACUGCUUUUAUACAAGAGAAAACCCUGGUACGUGUACCAGGUUGAUAGUAUUGUAAGAAUAAGCAUCGGCUAACUUCGUGCCAGCAGCCGCGGUAAGACGAAGGAUGCAAGCGUUAUCCGGAUUCAUUGGGUUUAAAGGGUGCGUAGGCGGACUGAUAAGUCAGUGGUGAAAUCUCUUUGCUUAACAAAGAAACUGCCAUUGAUACUGUCGGUCUAGAGUAUAGAUGACGUUGGCGGAAUAUGACAUGUAGUGGUGAAAUACUUAGAUAUGUCAUAGAACACCGAUUGCGAAGGCAGCUAACGAAACUAUAACUGACGCUGAGGCACGAAAGUGCGGGGAUCAAACAGGAUUAGAUACCCUGGUAGUCCGCACCGUAAACGAUGAUUACUCGUUGUUGGCGAUAUGACAGUCAGCGACCAAGCGAAAGCGAUAAGAAUCCACCUGGGGAGUACGCCGGCAACGGUGAAACUUAAAGGAAUUGACGGCNGAGAGNGCGAGGACGACACGAGGGAGAGG
rnacentral:rRNA from 1 species